rnacentral:rRNA from 1 species
AUCAAUUGGGAGCUUGCUCCCUUUUGGUUAGCGGCGGACGGGUGAGUAACACGUGGGUAACCUGCCUGUAAGACUGGGAUAACUCCGGGAAACCGGGGCUAAUACCGGAUAAGUUUUUCCUCCGCAUGGAGGAACAUUGAAAGAUGGCUUCGGCUAUCACUUACAGAUGGACCCGCGGCGCAUUAGCUAGUUGGUGAGGUAACGGCUCACCAAGGCAACGAUGCGUAGCCGACCUGAGAGGGUGAUCGGCCACACUGGGACUGAGACACGGCCCAGACUCCUACGGGAGGCAGCAGUAGGGAAUCUUCCGCAAUGGACGAAAGUCUGACGGAGCAACGCCGCGUGAGUGAUGAAGGUUUUCGGAUCGUAAAACUCUGUUGUUAGGGAAGAACAAGUACCGUUCGAAUAGGGCGGUGCCUUGACGGUACCUAACCAGAAAGCCACGGCUAACUACGUGCCAGCAGCCGCGGUAAUACGUAGGUGGCAAGCGUUGUCCGGAAUUAUUGGGCGUAAAGCGCGCGCAGGCGGUUUCUUAAGUCUGAUGUGAAAGCCCACGGCUCAACCGUGGAGGGUCAUUGGAAACUGGGAGACUUGAGUGCAGAAGAGGAGAGUGGAAUUCCACGUGUAGCGGUGAAAUGCGUAGAUAUGUGGAGGAACACCAGUGGCGAAGGCGACUCUCUGGUCUGUAACUGACGCUGAGGCGCGAAAGCGUGGGGAGCGAACAGGAUUAGAUACCCUGGUAGUCCACGCCGUAA